rnacentral:rRNA from 1 species
AUUGAACGCUAGCGGGAUGCCUUACACAUGCAAGUCGAACGGAGUGGCGAACGGGUGAGUAAUGUAUCGGAACUUGCCCAGUAGCGGGCGAUAACUACGCGAAAGCGUAGCUAAUACCGCAUACUUUUGGAGCGGCCGCUGUUGGAUUAGCUGGUUGGUGGGGUAACGGCUCACCAAGGCGGCGAUCCGUAGGCGGUUUGAGAGGACGACCAGCCACACUGGGACGGAGACACGGCCCAGACUCCUACGGGAGGCAGCAGUGGGGAAUUUUGGACAAUGGGGGAAACCCUGAUCCAGCAAUCCCGCGUGUGUGAUGAAGGCCUUCGGGUUGUAAAGCACUGUUGGCAGGAAAGCGGUACCUGCAGAAUAAGCACCGGCUAACUACGUGCCAGCAGCCGCGGUAAUUC